UACAGAGGGUGCAAACGUUGUUCGGAAUUACUGGGCGUAAAGCGCACGCAGGUGGCUGAGUCAGUCGAUUGUGAAAGCCCUGGGCUUAACCUGGGAAUUGCAGUCGAUACUACUCAGCUAGAGUAUGGGAGAGGGCAGUGGAAUUCCCGGUGUAGCGGUGAAAUGCGUAGAUAUCGGGAGGAACAUCAGUGGCGAAGGCGGCUGCCUGGCCCAAUACUGACACUCAGGUGCGACAGCGUGGGGAGCAAACAGG
rnacentral:rRNA from 1 species